rnacentral:rRNA from 1 species
AGCAGCCGCGGUAAUUCCAGCUCCAAUAGCGUAUAUUAAAGUUGUUGCAGUUAAAAAGCUCGUAGUUGAAUUUCGGGAUUGACGUGAUGGUCAUGCCUUAAGGGGUAUGAACUGUUGCUGUUGAUUUCUCACCUUCUGGAGAAACUUGAUGUCCUUUAUUGGGUGUCUUGCGGAUCCAGGACCUUUACCUUGAAAAAAUUAGAGUGUUUAAAGCAGGCAUUUUUGCUCGAAUACAUUAGCAUGGAAUAAUAGAAUAGGACGGCAUGGUUCUAUUUUGUUGGUUUCUAGGAUCACCGUAAUGAUUAAUAGGGAUAGUUGGGGGCAUUAGUAUUCAAUUGUCAGAGGUGAAAUUCUUGGAUUUAUUGAAGACUAACUACUGCGAAAGCAUUUGCCAAGGAUGUUUUCAUUAAUCAAGAACGAAAGUUAGGGGAUCGAAGACGAUCAGAUACCGUCGUAGUCUUAACCAUAAACUAUGCCGACUAGGAAUCAGACGAUGUUAAUUUUUAAUGACUCGUUUG